rnacentral:misc_RNA from 1 species
GCUUCUCCCUUGCGUGGUGCUUCUGCUCCAGCUUCUGUGCGCGCGCGUCCAUCUCCUCUGCUCCUCCGGCGCGCGCUCUGCUUCUUCCUCCUCCCGGCCGCGCGUAGCUCCCAGCCGAGCUCAUCUCUCAGCUAUGGCGCGUCCCCUGUUUCUCCUUGGUCUGCGCGCGGUGCUCGCAUGGCGCAUCCUUCUGCGCCCGGCCAAGGUUCACUGCCCGUCGCGGCUUCUUCCUUCCCUGCCGAUCCCAACUCCCUGCGCACGCACCGCAGUCGAGCUCCUCCCCGAACUCCGCUCGUCCCAUGGUGCUCGGACCGCGCAGCUCUCGGGCGCUCUCCCAUGACGGCGCGCCCAUCCCCCUGCUCUCCUCCAUGGCCGCCGCGCCGAGCACAUCUCCUCGCCAGCGCUCCUCCCUCCCUUUCCCUCCAGCCCUUCUGCUCAGCCGUCGAGUUUCCCUAGCGCGCGGAUUUCUCCUCCUCUGCCGCGCCUUCUGGCCCGGAUUUCUGUGGCCAGCCGCGAGCUCCUCCCGGCAGUACCUCGCCGGAUCUCCCAGCCGAGCCGUUUUUCUUCAUCUUCCUGUGCGUCGUGGAGCUCGGAUCGCGCCCUGUCUCCUAUGGCGUCUGGCAGUCGCUUCUCUCUGCACGCCGCGUUUUUAUUUAUUCCCCAAGUUUCCAGUCAUAGCGUACUCUCCCUGCUCGCCUGGCCGGAGCGCCCUGCGCUCUGCUCGCCCAUGGAGUUUGCCGAGCUCCAUUUUUGCUCGGUCAUGCCCCUACCGAGUCUCCCAUGGCCGCGCCCUGGGAUUUGCCGGAGUCUGCUUCCCUAGGCGCGCGCUGCUUUUUUUUCCCAUGGCACGACUGCCCUGCUCUGCUUGACGGACGCGUAGUUGCCCAGCUUGCGGAGCUUCCUUGCCGUGGCCGUCGCGUGCCUGCGCGCAGCUCGGCGCCUGCUGCUCGCCCCUACUGCGCGUGUCGAACUCUUCUAGGGCGCGCGCGAAGUUCUCUGCUCGCCAUAGCGUGUCAAGUUUCCGCGUCGAGCUCCCGCGUUGAAUCGAGCCCCAUGUUAUCGUAUCCCUGUUUCAGUUUGUUGUGUCAUGCCAUCAUCGCCU